AGUGAACGCUGGCGGUAGGCCUAACACAUGCAAGUCGAACGGCAGCACAGUAAGAGCUUGCUCUUACGGGUGGCGAGUGGCGGACGGGUGAGGAAUACAUCGGAAUCUACUUUUUCGUGGGGGAUAACGUAGGGAAACUUACGCUAAUACCGCAUACGACCUACGGGUGAAAGCAGGGGAUCUUCGGACCUUGCGCGAUUGAAUGAGCCGAUGUCGGAUUAGCUAGUUGGCAGGGUAAAGGCCCACCAAGGCGACGAUCCGUAGCUGGUCUGAGAGGAUGAUCGGCCACACUGGAACUGAGACACGGUCCAGACUCCUACGGGAGGCAGCAGUGGGGAAUAUUGGACAAUGGGCGCAAGCCUGAUCCAGCCAUACCGCGUGGGUGAAGAAGGCCUUCGGGUUGUAAAGCCCUUUUGUUGGGAAAGAAAAGCAGCAGGUUAAUACCCCGCUGUUCUGACGGUACCCAAAGAAUAAGCACCGGCUAACUUCGUG
rnacentral:rRNA from 1 species